rnacentral:rRNA from 1 species
UACAGAGGUCUCAAGCGUUGUUCGGAUUCAUUGGGCGUAAAGGGUGCGUAGGCGGCGGCGUAAGUCGGGGUGUGAAAUCCCAGGGCUCAACCCUGGAACUGCAUUCGAUACUGCGUCGCUGGAGGACUGGAGAGGAGACUGGAAUUCACGGUGUAGCAGUGAAAUGCGUAGAUAUCGUGAGGAAGGCCAGUGGCGAAGGCGAGUCUCUGGACAGUUCCUGACGCUGAGGCACGAAGGCCAGGGGGAGCAAAACGGGG